AUGUACUGUCAAAAAUGGCUUAGUGCAGCAAGCAUAGGUGGCACCACACAUUUGAACAACCACUUGAAAACUUGUUGUGCCAAGAGUGCACCUAUAGGCCUAAAGCAACGGAAGUUAAGGUUGGCGGCUGCUAGUGGUGGGAAGGUUGAACUCGAUAACAAUGGAGUUUUUGAUCAAGAUGUAGCUAGGAAAAGUCUUGCCUUAAUGAUCUGUGUUCAUGAAUAUCCUUUAUCGAUGGUUGAUCAUUCUAUUUUCCAAAUGUUUUGUGCUUCAAUGCAACCUUUGUUCAAGGUUGUCUCAAGAAAUACCAUUAGAAAGGAUAUCUUGCUUAUGCAUUCAGCCCAAAAGGAAAAGAUGGUGAAAUAUUUUGCAAAUUUCAAACAACAAGUAGCUGUCAUCUAA
rnacentral:rRNA from 1 species